rnacentral:rRNA from 1 species
UACGUAGGGUGCAAGCGUUGUCCGGAAUUAUUGGGCGUAAAGAGCUCGUAGGCGGUUUGUCGCGUCUGCUGUGAAAACUCGGGGCUUAACCCCGGGCCUGCAGUGGGUACGGGCAGACUAGAGUGCGGUAGGGGAGACUGGAAUUCCUGGUGUAGCGGUGAAAUGCGCAGAUAUCAGGAGGAACACCGAUGGCGAAGGCAGAUCUCUGGGCCGUAACUGACGCUGAGACGCGAAAGCGUGGGGAGCGAACAGG